GGAAACCCACGCCCACUCACAACUACACACUUGUAAUAACCGCACGUGUCUCUGGCCCUCCCUGCGCCUCCAAAAGAAGCUUCCAAAAACACCCCAAACACACUUACGAGCCCUAAUCUCUUUCGCCAACUACUAAGCUUCUUCGAUCAAUCUGAUCUAUCUGAAUUUUACUAAAAUUCAACUCUAAAUUCCACUUCCGUAUUUGAUAAUCAGAAAUUCCUAGGUCGGAUUUUAAUCAGCGACUCCAGUUGACUUUUAUUCAUCGAAGUCAAACAAACUGCAGAGUUCACGUUCGCGAGAUGUGGUUGGUGAAUUGUUUGGGUAAAAAGUUUAUUUCUUCCAAACGAGUGAAGAUGCUUUGAUGAUCGUGAGACAUUAAAAGACCUAAGAAAAUGCCAGCAGUUCGGCAUUGUUCUAGAAUUGAUACUUUCGAUCUGAAACUUGAAAUGGAAAGAAGACUCGGGUCACAAAAAGCUGAAAAAUACUUCAAUCUUCUCACAAGAUACAUCAAUCUGAAGCUCUCAAAAUCAGAAUUCGAUAAGCUCUGCAUCCGUUUGAUUGGCAGAGAGAAUCUUCGUCAUCACAAUGAACUCAUCAAGGCAAUUAUUAAAAACGCCACUCUUUCCAACACACCACCUCCAAAACAAGUCAAACCUGACAUCCCGUUGACUUUGAAAGAUCCUAACAACACCAUUGAUCCAAGAAGCAACCUUCAGUCUCUCUGUAGAGAUGUAUUCCCUCAAUCCCCAAGAAAAGGAAGAACACCAGUUCAUCGUGAAAGAAAGUAUAAAGAUAGACCAAGUCCUCUUGGGCUUAAUGGGAAGACUCAUAUGGCUGAAGAAACUGGUUUACAACUCAUUUGUACAAGAAUCCCGAUUACAGCUCCAUUUGGUAUUAGCAUACACUCAAAAGAAACACGAAAAUUGGUCUGUAAUUCAGGUUCUUCUUAUUACACAGAGACUUGUCAUUACACUCGUUAUUUGCCACAUACAAAUUCUUUAGAGAACAGAUUGAAGCAGAAGUUGAAAAUGGAGGGUUUGGAUAUCUCAAUGGAUUGUGUCAAACUAUUGAAUAAUGGGCUUGAUUCUUAUCUGAAAAGUGUUAUAAAACCAAAUCUGGAGUUAGCUCACUCAAGGUCUUUACACAAACAAGAAAUAUCCAUGCUAGAUUUUCGGGUGGCAUCAGAGGUCAACCCCAAGAUUCUUGGAGAAAAUUGGCGCAUAAAACUUGAGAAGAUUGGCCUAUAACAGUAGGAAACAACUAAAGUUUUGGGGAAAAAAAAGUAAAAACCCAUUAGUUUGUAUAUACAUAUCAGUGAUGAUUCUUGCUGUCCAAUGAAGUAUAAUCUCAUGAACACUUUUGAGAAUUUAUAGAUUCACAAUCACAAAAUUGAAAACAAACCGGCAAAUACAUACUCAGAAGCGAAAGUUUACAAAGGAAUCACAUCCAACACUUUGGAAGCUGUGCAUUAAUUUGGAGUAAAUGUAAACUUUUGCUUUUUAUUUAGUCAUUGAAUAAAAAUCAUAAAAUUAUAAUUAGCUUUGUGAUACUAAUUAAAAUUAAUAUCUCAAUUAAACGCAGAACAAUCUCGCCUGAUAUUCCCACUUCGACCCGUUUUAACACCAACCCGACCCAAUUUACCCAUAGCCGCAACAAACGCGUCAUUAAAAGCUUUUGAACUGGAAGCCCAUGUGUUGACAGUCGAUCUUGACCUCGAGUCACUAAAAAGAACUUGGUCAGAAGUAAAAAGCCCUUUUCCUUGUUGUAGAUUCUUGUAAUACACAUUAUCAAAAGUUCUUGGUGUGUUUGGAUCCAUGUUUAUGGCUAUCCUCGGGUCAACAUUUUUCGGGCACUGUUGUUGUAAUUGGGUGGCAUAACUCGGGCUCAGGGUCGGGUCAACGGGGUUCACCCUGCUGAAAUUAUAUAUCCUGUUUGAGAACUGGUCACAGUGUGAGAAUCCAAGGGUGUGUGCACCCGAGAGGGCAAUCAUGUCAUUUUGGGUUAGG